GAUGAACGCUGGCGGCGUGCCUAAUACAUGCAAGUCGAGCGAACAGAUGAGGAGCUUGCUCCUCUGACGUUAGCGGCGGACGGGUGAGUAACACGUGGAUAACCUACCUAUAAGACUGGGAUAACUUCGGGAAACCGGAGCUAAUACCGGAUAAUAUAUUGAACCGCAUGGUUCAAUAGUGAAAGACGGUUUUGCUGUCACUUAUAGAUGGAUCCGCGCCGCAUUAGCUAGUUGGUAAGGUAACGGCUUACCAAGGCAACGAUGCGUAGCCGACCUGAGAGGGUGGUCCGCCACACCGGAACCUGAACCCGGUCCCGACCUCUAAGGGAGGCCGGAGUAGGGAAUUCUCCCCCAUGGGCGAAAGCCUGACGGAGGCAAGCCGCGUGAGUGAUGAAGGUCUUCCGAUCGUAAAACCUUGGUAUUUGGGAAGAACAAAUGGUUAAGUUACUAAGCCCGGCUUUACCGUUCCUAAUCAGAAAGCCACGGCUAACUACGUG
rnacentral:rRNA from 1 species